rnacentral:rRNA from 1 species
GAUGAACGCUGGCGGCGUGCCUAAUACAUGCAAGUCGAGCGAACAGAUAAGGAGCUUGCUCCUUUGACGUUAGCGGCGGACGGGUGAGUAACACGUGGGUAACCUACCUAUAAGACUGGGAUAACUUCGGGAAACCGGAGCUAAUACCGGAUAAUAUUUCGAACCGCAUGGUUCGAUAGUGAAAGAUGGUUUUGCUAUCACUUAUAGAUGGACCCGCGCCGUAUUAGCUAGUUGGUAAGGUAACGGCUUACUAAGGCGACGAUACGUAGCCGACCUGAGAGGGUGAUCGGCCACACUGGAACUGAGACACGGUCCAGACUCCUACGGGAGGCAGCAGUAGGGAAUCUUCCGCAAUGGGCGAAAGCCUGACGGAGCAACGCCGCGUGAGUGAUGAAGGUCUUCGGAUCGUAAAACUCUGUUAUUAGGGAAGAACAUACGUGUAAGUAACUGUGCACGUCUUGACGGUACCUAAUCAGAAAGCCACGGCUAACUACGUG